rnacentral:lncRNA from 1 species
GCCGAAGGGUUCCGCUGGACACGCAGGCGGCCUCCGGAGCAGCCCAAGCCCAUGAGGGCCGCGCGCCCGGCCGCCGGUGCUGACGAGACGGAGCUCCUGGCCCCCGAGGAGGAGCAGAGGAUCAAUGCGGUUCAAGAAUCGAUUCCAGCGGUUCAUGAACCAUCGAGCUCCAGCCAAUGGCCGCUACAAGCCAACUUGCUAUGAACAUGCUGCUAACUGUUACACACACGCAUUCCUCAUUGUUCCGGCCAUCGUGGGCAGUGCCCUCCUCCAUCGGCUGUCUGAUGACUGCUGGGAAAAGAUAACAGCAUGGAUUUAUGGAAUGGGACUCUGUGCCCUCUUCAUCGUUUCUACAGUAUUUCACAUUGUAUCAUGGAAAAAGAGCCACUUAAGUGGAGCAUUGUUUUCACAUGUGUGAUAGAAUGGUUAUCUAUUUCUUCAUUGCUGCUUCUUAUGCUCCAUGGUUAAAUCUUCGUGAACUUGGACCCCUGGCAUCUCAUAUGCGUUGGUUUAUCUGGCUCAUGGCAGCUGGAGGAACCAUUUAUGUAUUUCUCUACCAUGAAAAAUAUAAGGUGGUUGAACUCUUUUUCUAUCUCACAAUGGGAUUCUCUCCAGCCUUGGUGGUGACAUCAAUGAACAACACCGAUGGACUUCAGGAACUUGCCUGUGGGGGCUUAAUUUAUUGCUUGGGAGUUGUGUUCUUCAAGAGUGAUGGCAUCAUUCCAUUUGCCCACGCCAUCUGGCACCUGUUUGUGGCCACGGCAGCUGCAGUGCAUUACUACGCCAUUUGGAAAUACCUUUACCGAAGUCCUACGGACUUUAUGCGGCAUUUAUGACCAAUCUGUACUAAUUCUCCAAACCAGUAUUAUUUCAAUUAUGGCACUUGGGAGUGGGGUGAGAGCUAAACAUUGCACAGGG